GUUGUUAUGGUGCCGGGGAGCGAGGCUGCCACGGGAGCCCGUGGGCUCUGGCUCUCCAUCCCCGCGGGCAGCCACGCCGGCCUCGCACACCUGACUCUGGGCUACCUGCAGAUUGAGCAGCGUGGACAAGGACGAGUAGUGCAGAGUGAUGCCCACCUACAAGGUCAAGGCACUGAGGCUUGGGACCUGAGCUGCUGACUGGGCUACACCCUGGAACGUCAAUGGCCGUGUAUGUUCCCACUCUCCCCAUGUCUCCAGCAUCCCACCCAGGACCAUGUCAACCACGGCUACCCCUCCCCAUGCCCUAGACCAAAAAGAGACCACACAGCCUGUACCUGGUGAUGAAGGUGCAGUCAUGGAUGAGGUUUUCUGCGAGGACGAUGCCUGCCUGCUCAUCACCCUCCAUAGGGGCCCCGUUGUGGUACCAGUGGAUGCGGGUAUCAUUGCCCAAGUAGCUGGCAGAGCACUGGAAGGGCAGACGGUCGCCCUGGAACACCACUUGGCGCAGGGACGGGAUGAGCUCCCUUCAGCUUCUCUGGCCACCGACAAGAAGUACUGGUGAGAGAAAUAUAUGCAAGCUCAAGUCCUGUGAAAAAGAACAAAUCUGGGUUGAAGAUGCAGUGGACUAACUCAGGGUUCACUUGCCUAAUGAUACGGAGAGUUGUCGUGUUGCAAAUGGAAAGCCAAGCCACAAUUAUCUCGGGCUAUCUUUAGUUCGCUUAAUAGCCCCUUAGCCCCUACCUUUGUAUCCAGCCCAACAUCCUCCGGACUGUCAGCUAAGACCUUUGUAACUUAGCAGAUAACCAGCUUCCUCAACCCCAAAGCUAAGAAUGUCCUCAGAUAGCAAGUCUCCAGGAGAGCUGAUUUCUCCACUUCGCUGUAAUGCCUACCUACUCUUUUCAUAGAUUUGGUAAAUAUUUGCACUGA